UUUAUGAUUAGGUGAUCUCCCUCUAUAAAUCUGAAUUUGUAUUUAUAUCUCUUUCACUCUGCAAUCUCUCAAUCUCUGCUUUCUCUUACUCUGUCAUCUUCUCUAGCUAGCAGUCUCACCAUCUGCAAUCCCUUCCCUUGAGCAAUAACUGAAUCAUCUCUUCUCCAUCUGGUGCAUUUGGUCCAUCCAGAUUCCAGACAAGUUUGUCAUAAACUAGAGCUCAGCUGCUCAUUCUACAUUCCACUCUACCAUUUUACUUAUGGGUCGUGGUAGACAGUCCCCACUGGCUCUGUAUAAGAAACCCGUACGGCAGAGACGUCGAGACACAUGGAAGUCCAGGUGAGUAAUUUUAAUAA